AAAACUAUUUACUGUCUCUAUGUUGAAUCAUGCUGAACUUUAAGAACUUUGACCCCAUCAGCCAUGUGGAUCACAAUGUGGAGCCACUGUUUCAAGAACAAAUUCUCUGCCAUCACAUCCAGUGGCUGCCUGCCUGAUACUGCUGUUGCCGGGAGAGCCGCCUCUCCAGUGAGAGUGAAUCCCAAUGAAACGUGCACAUGCUCGGCUGUGAUUGGUUCCCCUGGCAGCCAUUUUUCCAUCCGAC
rnacentral:lncRNA from 1 species